rnacentral:rRNA from 1 species
GACAAUGGGCGCAAGCCUGAUCCAGCCAUGCCGCGUGCAGGAAGACUGCCCUAUGGGUUGUAAACUGCUUUUAUACAGGAAGAAACACUCCCUCGUGAGGGAGCUUGACGGUACUGUAAGAAUAAGGAUCGGCUAACUCCGUGCCAGCAGCCGCGGUAAUACGGAGGAUCCAAGCGUUAUCCGGAAUCAUUGGGUUUAAAGGGUCCGUAGGUGGACUGCUAAGUCAGAGGUGAAAUCCCACAGCUUAACUGUGGCACUGCCUUUGAUACUGGUAGUCUUGAGUCAUUAUGAAGUGGUUAGAAUAUGUAGUGUAGCGGUGAAAUGCUUAGAUAUUACAUAGAAUACCGAUUGCGAAGGCAGAUCACUAAUAAUGUACUGACACUGAUGGACGAAAGCGUGGGUAGCGAACAGGAUUAGAUACCCUGGUAGUCCACGCCGUAAACGAUGGUUACUAGCUGUUUGGACUUCGGUCUGAGUGGCUAAGCGAAAGUGAUAAGUAACCCACCUGGGGAGUACGUCGGCAACGAUGAAACUCAAAGGAAUUGACGGGGGCCCGCACAAGCGGUGGAGCAUGUGGUUUAAUUCGAUGAUACGCGAGGAACCUUACC